ACAAAACAUAUUCAUAAAAUUCACACCUGAUUACAGUGUUCUUGUUUCUUCUUUUUAGAAGCCGAAAGAUAGAUGUGGUUUCCAAAGUGUCUGAGUUUCCAUGUCCCAUCUGCAGUCGAGUAUACCCCAUGCAGAAACGCCUGACACAACACAUGAAGACACACAGCACAGAGAAACCUCACAUGUGUGACAAGUUUGGGAAAUCCUUCAAGAAGCGGUACACUUUCAAAAUGCAUCUUCUCACACACAAAGA